UUUCCGGUUGAUCCCGCCGCCGGACACCGCUAUUGGAGUUCGCUUAAGCCAUGCGAGUCGAGAGGGGUAAGCCCUCGGCGCACUGCUCAGUAACACGCGGACAAUCUGCCCUCAAGACGGGGAUAUUCCCGGGAAACUGGGGCUAAUACCCGAUAGACCUGAGAUGAUGGAAGGCUCCCAGGUCGAAAUCCUCCGGGGCUAGAGGAUGGGUCUGCGGCCUAUCAGGUUGUAGGGGGUGUCACGGACCCCCUAGCCGAAGACGGGUACGGGCCCUGGGAGGGGUAGCCCGGAGAUGGACUCUGAGACAUCAGUCCAGGCCCUACGGGGCGCAGCAGGCGCGAACACUGUGCAAUGCGCGAAAGCGCGACACGGGGAGCUUGAGUGUCUUGGCAUAGCCAAGACUUUUCUCAUUCCUAAAAAGCAUGAGGAAUAAGUGCUGGGUAAGACGGGUGUCAGCCGCCGCGGUAACACCCGCAGCACAAGUGGUGGUCACUUUUAUUGAGCCUAAAGCGUUCGUAGCCGGUUCUGUAAAUCUUCAGAUAAAUUCAUUCGCUCAACGGAUGAUCUUCUGAAGAGACUGUAGAACUUGGGACCGGGUGAGGUUGAAUGUACUUCCGGGGUAGGGGUAAAAUCCUGUAAUCCUGGAAGGACAACCGGUGGCGAAGGCGUUCAACUAGAACGGAUCCGACGGUGAGGAACGAGGGCUAAGGGAGCAAACCGGAUUAGAUACCCGGGUAGUCCUAGCUGUAAACACUGCCCACUUGGUGUUGCCUCUCUGUUGAAGGGGGGCAGUGCCGGAGCGAAGGUGUUAAGUGGGCCGCUUGGGGAGUAUGGUCGCAAGGCUGAAACUUAAAGGAAUUGGCGGGGGAGCACCACAACGGGAGGAGCGUGCGGUUUAAUUGGAGUCAACGCCGGA
rnacentral:rRNA from 1 species